CCGCAGGUCAAUGAUCUAUAGAUCAUUUAUGAAAUUAUUAAUGCGAUUUUUUCAAUGAAAGCUUGAGAGUAAGUAUAGAGUGUUUGGAUUCAUUUUACUCGGGACGAAGAAUUCUAGGUCACUAGGACUUUGAUUUUAUAAAAAAACAAAAAUUUUUUUUUGGUUAAUGAUUAAUCGGUGAUUAAUCAGCACUAGGAAUUGUUUAAAUAAAUAAAUCUUUGGAUAGUUUUCUUCUCCUUAAAAUUCUGAAGAAAAUAAGCCGUCACACGAGUCAAUUGGCCGCAGGUCAAUGAUCUACAGAUCAUUCAAUAAAUUAUUAACGCGAUUUUUUCAAUGAAAUCGUGGAGAUAACUAUAGAGUGUUUGGGUUCAUUUUACUCGGGAUUUCAAAUUCUAGGUCGCCAGGAUAUUAAAAUUA